UGUGAUCGAGUACGUCGAUGACAAACCCUCCUUGUCAGAGCAACCAGGCAAGCCCCCCCUUUGAACAUCACGGUAUCGCCCAUUCCAUUCUCUCAUGCUUGCAUUAGAUUUUGCUACUGUUAUUGUUUGCUCCUAUUCUGAUGCAUAGCCUGCUUUUGUAACCUGCUUAUUGUUACCUUACCUGAUUAUCCUAAACUGCUUAGUAUAGGUUGGUUAGUGAUCCAUCAGUGACCCUCACCUUGUCCUUGCUGCCGCUGCUUCAUCAUCGACGACUCACUACAAAAAAAAGACACAUCCGUGACAUUUUGGGCCGAACGAAUUUUUUUCUGUCAUACAUAUGACACUUCUAUGACGAUAAUUGUGACAAAACCCGGUAUCAUCAUAUAUGUGGUGGGCUCCUACUUCUAUGACAAAAAAUCAUGACAGAAAAUGGGCUUUUCGUCCUGGGCCGGCCGGAGACGCAGCUGCAUGACAUUCUUUGGGCCGUCCAUGACAGAAAAAACCAUGGUAGAAGCGAGGGGAGGAAAAUUUCGGGGAGUUCCCGGUUACGGUGGGAGGUCGGGGCCCGAGCGAUGCGCGUUUCUCUCGUACACGUAUGCGCGUGUGUGCGAGGCGUUGGGCUCUAACUGAACCCGAGCGAUUGCACUGCAGGCUAUGCGUUACUGAACCCGAGCGAUCGAUCGAUGGUUGUUAACUGAACCCGAUCGAGCGAUUCCUUUGCUACUGCUGCUAAUUGAAGCCNNNNNNNNNNNNNNNNNNNNNNNNNNNNNNNNNNNNNNNNNNNNNNNNNNNNNNNNNNNNNNNNNNNNNNNNNNNNNNNNNNNNNNNNNNNNNNNNNNNNNNNNNNNNNNNNNNNNNNNNNNNNNNNNNNNNNNNNNNNNNNNNNNNNNNNNNNNNNNNNNNNNNNNNNNNNNNNNNNNNNNNNNNNNNNNNNNNNNNNNNNNNNNNNNNNNNNNNNNNNNNNNNNNCAGUGAGCGGUGGCAUUGCCUCUGGAUGAACAGGACCCCGUGGUGUGGUGGAGGGCUGGAUGAACAGUAGACGAUGGAGGGGUGCCCGUGGAGGGGUGGUUGAAUAGGACCCCGUGGUGUGGAGGGCUGGAUGAACAGUAGACGGUGGAGGGGUGCCCGUGGAGGGGUGGUUGAACAGUAGCCGGUGGAGUAGCAUGCGGUGGAGGCUGGAUGAACAGGAGCCCGUGGAGGCUGGAGGAGGUCGACGGUAGCCCGUGGAGGCUGGAGGAGGUCGACGGUAGCCCGUGGAGGCUGGAGGAGGUCGAUGGUAGCCCGUGGAGGCUGGAGGAGGUCGACGAUGGAGAUGAACAGUAUCCCGUGGAGUCCCAUUUUGCGAUACGCCACACCCCUCCCGAUGAACAGGACCCCCUUUCGACCAUAGGAGGUCUGUUUCGUCCGUUUUGCGGAAUGCCACACCCCUCCCGAUCAACAUGACCCCCGUUUCGACCGUAGGAGGUCCAUUUCGUCCGUUUUGCGGUACGCCACACCCCUCCCGAUCAACAGGACCCCUGAGGGAGUCCUGGAUUAGGGGGUCUCCGGACAGCCGGACUAUAUCCUUUAGCCGGACUAUUAGACUAUGAAGAUACAAGAUUGAAGACUUCGUCUCGUGUCCGGAUGGGACUCUACUUGGCGUGGAAGGCAAGCUAGGCAGUACGGAUAUGGAUAUCUCCUCCUUUGUAACCGACCUUGUGUAACCCUAGCCCCCUCCGGUGUCUAUAUAAACCGGAGGGGUUUAGUCCGUAGGACACAAUAACAUACAAUAACAUACAAUAACAUACAAUCAUACCAUACGCUAGCUUCUAGGGUUUAGCCUCGACAAUCUCAUGGUAGAUCUACUCUUGUACUACCCAUAUCAUCAAUAUUAAUCAAGCAGGACGUAGGGUUUUACCUCCAUCAAGAGGGCCCGAACCUGGGUAAAACAUCGUGUCCCCUGCCUCUUGUUUCCAUCCGCCUUAGACACACAGUUCGGGACCCCCUACCCGAGAUCCACCGAUUUUGACACCGACAUUGGUGCUUUCAUUGAGAGUUCCUCUGUGUUGUCGCCGUUAGGCUUGAUGGCUCCUUCGAUCAUCAUUAGCGAUGCAGUCCAGGGUAAGACUUUUCUCCCAGGACAGAUUUUUGUAUUCGGCGGCUUCACACUGCGGGCCAACUCGCUUGGCCAUCUGGAGCAGAUCGAAAGUUACGCCCCUGGCCACCAGGUCAGGUUUGGAAGCUUAAACUACACGGCCGAUAUCCACAGAGACUUGAUCUUCGACGGAUUCGAGCCUCUGCCUUGUGCGUCGCAUGGUCACAAUGAGUACGAUUUAGCUCUACCAUCAGACAGUGUUCAGAAGAUCGCACCGGCAGCCGCUCCAACCCUCAAUUCGGAGCCAGUUGCACCGUCCAUGGACGGGUGGAUGGACCCCGCCACGAAGGCCUUACCCUCAGCGGCGAUCGAGCCGAACAUCGACCUUACCCAGCACGAGAGCCAUGUUGUCAGACUGCCGGAUCCUUCUCCGGCCACGGACUCCGAACCGCCUGCGCCCGUUCCUAGCGAAUCCGAUUGGGCGCCGAUCAUGGAGUUUACCUUCGCAGAUAUUUUUCAGCACUCGCCCUUUGGCGACAUACUGAACUCAUUAAGGUCUCUCUCCUUGUCAGGAGGAUCCUGGCUGAACUAUGUCCGGUAGGAUUGGGAUGCGGAUGACGAAAAAAUUCGCUGCCCACCCACCACCCACUUAGUAGCCACUGUCGACGACUUAACUGACAUGCUCGACUUCGACUCUGAAGACAUUGACGGUAUGGACGAUGAUGCGGGAGACGAAGUGGAACCACUGCCCACAGGGCACUGGACAGCCACCUCAUCAUACGAUAUAUACAUGGUGGACACACCCAAAGAAGGCAAUGGCGACGAGACAGUGGAGGAUGACCCCUCCAAGAAGCAACCCAAGCGCCAACGUUAGCGGCGCCGCUCUAAGUCCCGCCAAAGCAAAAGUGGUGAUACCGGCACAGGAGAUAAUAACACUCCGGAUAGUGCCGAAGAUGGCAACAAUCUCCUCCGGCACGAUUUGGGACAGGAGGAUGGAGAGGCCAGCCCUCCAGAGAGAGCGGCAGAUGGAGAGGCGGAGGAUAAUUACAUGCCCCCCUUCAAGGACGAGGCAAGCCUCGACGAUGAAGAAUUCGUCGUGCCAGAGGAUCCCAUCGAACAAGAGCGCUUCAAGCACCGGCUUAUAGCCAUGGCAAAUAGCCUUAAGAAAAAGCAGCAGCAGCUUCAAGCUAAUCAAGAUCUGCUAGCUGACAGAUGGACUGAAGUCCUCGCAGCCGAGGAAUAUAAACUCGAACGCCCCUCCAAGAGUUACCCAAAAUGCAGGUUGGUACCCUGACUAGAGGAAGAAGCAUAUGAUGCGGCUGAUCGGCCACCCCGUGGCCGCGAUAGAGAGGCAUUCCAGCCAAAAGCUCAGCCUGCACCCCGACGCCAUUCAAAUAAAAAGGCAUGGGGAAAUACGGCAGACCUGCGAGACGUAUUGGAGGACAAAGCAAAACAUGCAAGAUCGAUCUACGGAUCACGAGGGCGCGCCACUAUGUGAGACGAUAAACGUCACGCCGGAUACAGUAAAAGUAAAUCCGGCCGGGCCAAACACAGCGGGCAAGACUCAUUGGAGCUGCGUCGCGAUAUAGCCCAGUACAGAGGCGCCGCACACCCCUUAUGCUUCACUGACGAAGUAAUGGAUCAUCAAAUCCCAGAGGGUUUCAAAUCCGUAAAUAUAGAAUCAUACGAUGGCACGACAGAUCCUGCGGUAUGGAUCGAGGAUUUCCUCCUACACAUCCACAUGGCCCGCGGUGAUGACCUACACGCAAUCAAAUACCUCCCACUCAAACUUAAAGGACCAGCUCGGCACUGGCUCAACAGCUUGCCAACAGAGUCCAUUGGCUGUUGGGAAGAUCUGGAAGCCGCAUUCCUCGACAACUUUCAGGGAACCUAUGUGCGACCACCAGAUGCCGAUGACCUGAGCCAUAUAAUUCAGCAACCAGAGGAAUCGUCCAGGCAAUUCUGGACACGGUUCCUAACAAAGAAAAAUCAAAUCGUCGACUGUCCGAAUGCAUAGGCCCUAGCAGCUUUUAAACACAAUAUCCGCGACGAGUGGCUAGCCUGGCACCUUGGUCAGGAAAAGCCAAAAUCUAUGGCAACCCUCACGACAGUCAUGACCCGCUUUUGUGUGGGAGAAGACAACUGGCUGGCUUGCAGUAAUAACAUAUCAAAGAACCGUGGUACUUCGGAUACCAAGGACGGCAAUGGCAGGUCACGUCGCAACAAACAUAAGCGCCACAUUAACAGCGACAAUACCGAGGAUACGACAGUCAAUGCCGGAUUCAAAGGCUCUAAACCCGGUCAGCAGAAAAAGGCAUUUAAAAGAAGCACUUCGGGGCCGUCCAGUUUGGACCGUAUACUCGAUCGCUCAUGUCAAAUACACGACACCCCCGACAAGCCAACCAACCACAUCAAUAGGAUUGUUGGGUGUUCAAGCAGGCCGACAAGAUAAUUGCCGAAAACAAAGAUAAGGGGCCACAUAGCGAUGAUGAGGAGGAGCCCCGAUAGCCGAAUACCGGAGGACAGAAGAGGUUCCCCCCACAAGUGCGGACGGUGAACAUGAUAUACGCAACCCACAUCCCCAAGAGGGAGCGGAAGCGUGUGCUCAGGGACGUAUAUGCGUUGGAGCCAGUCGCCCCAAAGUUCAACCCAUGGUCCUCCUAUCCGAUCACCUUCGACCGCAGGGACCACCCCACUAGUAUCCGUCAUGGCGGAUUCGCCGCACUGGUCUUAGACCCAAUUAUUGACGGAUUUCACCUCACUCGAGUCCUUAUGGAUGGUGGCAGCAGCGUGGACCUGCUUUACCAGGACACGGUGCGCAAAAUGGGUAUAGACCCCUCAAGGAUCAAACCCACAGAAAACGACCUUUAAAGGCGUCAUAUCAGGUGUAGAGGCCCAUUGCACAGGCUCAGUCACACUGGAAGUGGUCUUCGGGUCCCCGAAUAACUUCCGAAGCAAAGAGUUAAUCUUCGAUAUAGUCCCGUUCCGUAGUGGUUAUCAUGCACUGCUCGGGCGAACCGCAUUCGCGAGAUUCAAUGCGGUACCACAUUAUGCAUACCUCAAGCUCAAGAUGCCAGGACCCCAGGGGGUCAUUACAGUUAAUGGAAACACAGAGCGCUCUCUCCGAACGGAGGAGCACACUGUGGCCCUCGCAGUGGAAGCGCAAAGCAGCCUCUUAAGGCAAUCCACUAGUUCGGCGUUCAAGGACCCGAACACCUUCAAGUGCGCCCGGAGUAAUCGGCAACUGGACCGCCUGGCACGUCCCGAGCUCGCAUAACAAUGCGGCCCCCACCCCGGCCCCAGCCAAACGGCGAAAUUUGUGCCAUGCAUACAUAAUUACGCAUUAAAAAUAUCAUGGGCACAGGUGGGGAGGGGGGCACAACUACGGCACGCCCCAAGACGUGGCUUAAACCGCACUAGGGGCUUCCUGCUUUGUUAUUUUUCUUUCAGGACAUUAAUCUCUGGAAACCUUGUCCGGCAGCAUGAUUGCCGAACACAUGAUGCAGCAACCAAGGAGGCAGAAAGCUACAUCACAAAACGGAACUCCCAGGUGGAUUACGAUAACGAGUGAAAUACUUGCCUUAACAUUAUUCCUCAGCUUGCCCUUGGAGGGGAUAUAGUCCUACUUUUUGCUUAUUGCACUGCAUGUAUCAUUCCGCUUUAACGCACCUUUUUGAAUAAACAAUACAUAGCAUUAAGACUAUUAUUGCAUUCUUCCUUUAUAUAUAUGUGUGUGUUAAUUAAUGACACCUUGCAACCGUACACUUUGGUACGGCCAAUACACCAGGGUCUUAAGUACCCCACAAUAUGGUGUGAGAAGUCCGAACACUUUCACAAGUGCGGCACCCCAAACUUAUAGCAUUAUAUGCAUCAGCUCCGAAUCAUGUCUUUGGUCAAUAGUUGGUUUGCCCGGCUCCCAUGUUUUGGUACCUUACGUUCCGCUAUAUCGGCUAAGGUAGCACUGGGAGAACUACUGCGAUUGUGCCCUGGUUCAGCUGGGCUAAGCACCUCAGUAGAGAAAGCUAAAACUGACUGUCAUGAUAUGGCGAGAGACUGGUCGCUGUUCGAGAGGUUUUCGAGUCCCUAAAGACUUAUGCUGCUUAGAGCGAGGAGUCGGCCCUGUCCGGCUUAAGGCGUGUAUCGCGCCUCGAAUUCGGCCUUCCGAAUACCAGGGGCUUAUCUGAAAUUUAAAAUUAUAGAAUUCUAUGGCUAAGUGAGAGUGAUAAAGCAUUAUUAGUCCGAUUACCUUGUUCGUUGUGGCGAGCACCUCCCUCGAAGGACCCAAAAAUGGGAACAAGAGUGCUCAGGUUUAUCCCGAACACCCCAGCACUCGUGGCAUGGGGGCAGAAGCCGACGACUAGCCAUCUCUCAGAUUUGAUAAAUGGCCAAACAUAAGGUAAUAUUUUAAAUUCAGACAAGUGUUGCAUAGCGCAUAUGAAACAGGUUUUCAGCAUACAUGAUCACACGAGCAAAUUCAUUCAAAUAUUACAUCUUUCGUACACUCGUCCGCUACGAGACGGGCACCCUUCAGGGCACCCUCAUAGUACAUCUCGGGGUGGCGAUGCUCCUUGCCCACCGGCGACCCUUCCUUGAUCAGCUUCACGACAUCUAGCUUGGCCCAUUGCACCUUCACACGGGCGAAAGCCCGGCGUGCACCUUCAAUGCAGACGGACCGCUUGACGACUUCCAGCCGUGGGCAGGAAUCCACAAGCCGCCUCACCAGGCCGAAGUAGCUAUUCGGAAGGGCGUCGCCAGGCCACAGCCGGACUAUAAAGCCCUUCAUGGCCUAUUCGGUCGCCUUGUGUAGCUCGACCAGCUGCUUUAGCUGGUCGCUCAUAGGCACCGGGUGUUCGGUCCCAGUAUAUUGGGCCCAGAACAAAUUCUCCGUUGAGCUUCCCUCCUCGUCCUGGUAAAAAGUUGCGGCAUCCGGCACGCUACGGGGCAAAUCUGCGAAUGCUCCUGGAGAGCUCCGGAUUCGGGUAAGUAAAAGGUAAUUUACUUUCACAUGCUUGCUUUGCAUAUACAAUGCCUUACCCACCACUAUCUUCUUCAUUGCAUCAAUCUCCUGGAGGGCCUUCUGUGCUUCAGCCUUGGCACUCUUCGCACUUUCACGGGCGGCGGCAAGCUCGGACUCUCGCGUCUUCGAGUCACGCUCCAACGCCUCUGCUUCGACACGAGAGCUUGGAGCUCUUGCUGCACCUCGCCCACCCGUGCCUCUUGCCUUUCCCGCUCGGUUCGCUCCUUGGUUGCUUUGUCUUCGGCCUCGGAUAGUGCUUGCUUCAGGGUCGCCACCUCGGUCGUGGCCCCUGGCAAAUAUACGAUGAUCCUGUCAUUUUGCAAUCGCGUCUUCUUUUAUACAUACAUAUCUAUAGACAUGGUAUUACUUACCCUUGUUCUCCUCGAGCUGCCUCUUGGUAAGGCCGAGCUCUUUCUUGGACCCCUCGAGGUCCUGCUUCAGUGUGGCGACCUCCGCAGUCAGUGCGGCUGAGGCCAGCAGCGAAGCCUGCAUACGCAUAUAGACAUACUUAUGUUAGACUAAUGCGGUAUUAUUUGAUCCUCUAUUCGGCUUUUCUUUUUUAACACCGAACAGAGCAUCAGGGGCUACUGUCUAUGCGGUAAUAUUUUUCCUAUAUUUCAAACACUUACCUCAAAGCAUGUUAGAAGGCUGGCACAGGCUUCAGUCAAUCCGCUCUUGGCGGACUGAACCUUCUGGACCACCGCACUCAUAAUAGUGCGGUGCUCCUCGUCGAUGGAAGCGCCGUGAAGCGCUCCCAGCAGAUUGUCCGGUGCCUCUAGAUGGACAGAGGUCACUGGCAUAGGCGUCUUGCCCCUUUUAGAAGGAGGCCGCCUGCCCGAGUCCGGAACCACUAGGGGUUCCGGCGCGGUGUUCGGCUGAGGGCCGAACUUGGAGCCCUCGGGAGCCUUGCUCCCUCUGCUCCCGGAGUCCAGAAGGUCGCCUUGAGGCGCCUCCGGGAUUGUCUCCCCUCGACCAGGUGCCUCUUGAGACAAUACCUCAGCGUUGUCCGUAGGGCAGGGGGAGGUGGUGGUCGGAAGUGGAUUGCUAUCCAUAUUCGACGAGCCCAGGGAGCCGUCCGAUGAUACGUCGAUACGGGCUCAUGGCGUUCUGCAUAAUCAUAAUUCGGCGUUAGAGGAAACAGUGUGACAAAUGAAUGCUAUGAGUUACUCUGGCAUCCGAAUACUUACGACUUUGCUAGGGGCUUGGCCCUGAGUAGCCACUCAUCUUCGCCCAGUGGUAGAGUAGUCCGGAAGGAGAGUCCUUCCCUUCUUGGACCCUUCGCCCCCCCCGGUUGGGGCGGCCUUCCUUUUCUUUCUCCCCCAACUGAAGGGGGAGCAUCUUCUUCUUCCUCCUCAUCUUCGGGGGAGGAGUGUGCCAUAGAGUUAUCGGACGAUGAGUCCGAUAACACCUGGUGUCCGGAACUCUUUCGGGUUCCCUUGGCCUUCUUGGUCUUCUCUGGCACCUUGUAAGGAGCCGAAGUCAGCAUCUCCGCCAGGAGAGCGUUUGCUGGGCCUUCGGGCAAAGGAGCAGGACAGUCAAUCUGUCCGGCCGUUUCCUGCCAAUCCCGUCAAAGGUACAGGAGCUUAGAUCCCGCAUAGAGUCAAACUAUGAAAAACAAGUAUCCUAUAAGAGGUAAAACAGCUUACCGCGCUGGCUUGGCGCUUCGCGCAGAAUCCGCGAUCCUCGGUAGUGGGAGGGGAACCUCGGCGCCCUUGAAUAGCACCUUCCAGGCAUCCUAGUGUGUUGUCUCGAAGAGCCUGUUCAAAGUUUGGUGCUGGGCCGGGUCGAACUCCCACAAGUUGAAAGCCCGUUGUUGACACGGGAGGAUCCGGCGGAUGAGCAUGACCUGGACUACGUUGACGAGUUUGAGCUUCUUGCUCACCAUGUUUUGGAUAAAUGUUUGGAGUCCGGUCAGCUCCCCCGAACUACCCCAGGACAGGCCCUUCUCUUGCCAGGAGGUGAGCCGCGUGGGGAUGCCAGAUCGGAACUCGGGGGCCGCAGCCCAUGCAGGGUCACGCGGCUUGGUGAUGUAGAACCACCUCGAUUGCCACCCCUUUAUGGUCUCCACGAAGGAGCCCUCGAACCAUGUGACGUUGGGCAUCUUGCCCACCAUGGCGCCUCCGCACUCCGCCUAGCGGCCGCUCACAACCUUCGGCUUGACAUUGAAGGUCUUCAGCCAUAAGCCGAAGUGGGGCUUGAUGCGGAGGAAGGCCUCACACACGACGAUAAACGCCGAGAUGUUGAGGAUGAAGUUCGGGGCCAGAUCAUGGAAAUCCAGGCCGUAGUAGAACAUGAGCCCCCAGACGAAUGGGUGGAGAGGGAAUCCCAGUCCGCGGAGGAAAUGGGUAAGGAAUACUACCCUCUCGUGGGGCCUGGGGGUGGGGAUGAGCUGCCCCUCAUCUGGGAGCCGGUGCGCGAUGUCGUCGGGCAGGUAUCCGGCUCUCCUCAGCUUCUUGAUGUGUCCCUCCAUGACGGAGGAGACCAUCCACCUGCCUCCCGCUUCGGACAUGGUUGGAGAAGGUUGAGGUGGGAAAUGCGGACUUGGGUGCUGGAGCUCGAGUGUGCGAAAAUGGAUGAGCAAAGGAGGAAGAAGGUGUGGAUGAAAAGGUGAAUCCUUGUCCCUUUAUAUGGGCGGCCGAAACUAUGCGCCCCCACUAGCUUGGUAAAACUCGCUUAUCCCCCAAGCACCGUAAUCAAUGGCAUGGUUGGGUUACCCACGCCCGUAUUGAUGAGAAUCAUGUAAUAAGGGGACAUGAUCUCUGCUUUGACAAGAUGUGUCAAAAAACUGCGUCGCGUUAUGUGCGGGCCUAGUUAAAGGAAAUGGUUCGAAUAAUCACCAGGCCAUGGCAUGAUGUCAUGUUGCCGAAACGUGUCAGCAGAUUAGAUUUGUGGAAAUAUUAUUCUCUCUACGGUGGUAUGUGGAACUUAUUUUGCAGGUUCAGACACUAUCCUUGUAUUCAAAUUCUUCCAUGGUGUAUUCGGAGGAGGAACCCGCCUUGCAAUGACGAAGACAGUACUGCGCAUCGGACUCAUCGUCAUUGAAGCCUGGUUCAGGGGCUACUGAGGGAGUCCUGGAUUAGGGGGUCUCCAGACAGCCGGACUAUAUCCUUUGGCCGGACUGUUAGACUAUGAAGAUACAAGAUUGAAGACUUCCUCUCGUGUCCAGAUGGGACUCUACUUGGCGUGGAAGGCAAGCUAGGCAGUACGGAUAUAGAUAUCUCCUCCUUUGUAACCGACCUUGUGUAACCCUAGCCCCCUCCGUGUCUAUAUAAACCGGAGGGGUUUAGUCCAUAGGACACAAUAACAUACAAUAACAUACAAUCAUACCAUAGGCUAGCUUCUAGGGUUUAGCCUCUAUGAUCUCGUGGUAGAUCUACUCUUGUACUACCCAUAUUAUCAAUAUUAAUCAAGUAGGACGUAGGGUUUUACCUCCAUCAAGAGGGCACAAACCUGGGUAGAACAUCGUGUCCCCUGCCUCCUGUUACCAUCCGCCUUAGACGCACAGUUCGGCCCCCCUACCCGAGAUCCGCCAGUUUUGACACCGACAACCCCCGUUUCGACUGUAGGAGGUCCGUUUCCUCCGUUUUGCGGUACGCCAGACCCCUCCCGAUGAACAGGAUACCGUUUCGAACGUGGCCAGUCAAACACAAGGCCGUUUCCUCCGUUCUGCGGUACGCCAGCCUCAUUUCCAUCGCCUGUUCCGUCCAAGCCCUCCCGAUGAACACGACCACGCAUUCUGUUCCGACCCAGCCAGUUGGCUCCCACGCAUUCCGUUGCCUCCCGAUGAACACGACGCAUUCCGUUGCCUCCCCAUGAGCACGACACAUUCCGUUGCCUCCCCAUGAACACAACGCAUUCCGUUCCGUCCCCAUGAACACGAUGCAUUCCGUUGCCUCCCCAUGAACACGACGACAACGCUGUUUCUUUGUUCCGACCCAGCCAUGUACACGAGCCCUGGCCGUACGUAUGCGCGAGUAGGCGUUCGAGACCCCGCCCGUAUGUACACAUACGUGGCCGUAUUUUCUUUCUUGCACCCUGGCCGCUGUACGUACGUGCGCGCCUCUACUACGACACGUGCGCGCCUCUACAUCCACCAGUAUAUAUGUACAUACACGUUCGUGACCAGAAUGACAACGCUACGUACGCUUCGACCAGGUGGGUCCCGACUGUUAGGCACUUCCUUGCAUGCGAAGAUGUAGCUGGUGGGUCCCAACAGUCAGGGGGAAACGUUUUUUUCGCGAAAUACGGUGGCCCUUCCGGUGGGUCCCUGCUGUCAGGUGGAGGAAUAAUUAUUUUGCACGUAAUAAGGAGGCACUUCCUUGCUGCGGCGUGGACCCAGCUGCCAGCCUCUCCACGUACAGUCCAUGUCCGAUGGAAGCCGUUCCUUGACCAUGUUGACCACGCCACGCCGAGAGCACAAGGGCGGUGGACGACGGCGAGGCCUAGGAACGGGACGACGUGGAGCCGGGGAAGACACGGCAGUGGAUGCCCACGCGUAGAGGAGUACGAGUGUUCACUGGUUUGCUGCGGUGUGAGGCUGCCGUGGCCACAGAAUAACAGGGGGUGUGGGUGAGUAGAGGGACGGCCUGGCCAGCGGUGGGAGUAGGAGGGGGCAGUGAGGCCUCCGCUGCAUCGCAGCCGGCCACGGGAGGCAGGAGCAUGAGGCACGACCGACGCUGGUUUGGGCGGCUGGAGCAAGAAGACCAGAGGUUGAAGAAGCACUACGGCCGUUGGAUGGACAUCGUACGGUCACUGGAGCUAGAAUCGUGCAUAUUGACUAAGUUGACAAAGCCCUCUGUCCCCAUCAACUUAGUAGGCCCACAAGUCAGUCUGCCACUAUACUGGGUCCCAGCUAACAGGGGGAGUAUUCAUUUUUUUGUGCGUUAUAAGGAGGCACUUCCUUGCGUGCGAAGAUAUAGCUGGUGGGUCCGAGCUGUCAGCGGCGGUAACGUUUUUUUGCGAAAUACAGAGGCCCUUUCGGUGGGUCCCUGAUGUCAGGUGGAGGAAUCAUUAUUUUGCGCGUAAUAAGGAGGCAUUUCCUUGCGUGCGGCUAUGGACCCAGCUGUCUGCUUCUCCAUGUACAGUCCACUUCAGAUGCAUGUUGGUCGGUGACCACGUUGACCAGGCCGCGCCGAGAACACCAGGGUGAUGGACGACGGUGAGGCCUAGGAAGGGAACGACACGGAGGCAGGGAGGACUCGACAGUUGUUUCCCACACGGAGGGGAGUACGACUGUACGAGGGUUUACUGGUUCGUCUGCCGUCGUCGGAGAAUAACAGCAGGUGUGGGUGAGUAGAGGGAUGGCUAGGCCAGCAAUGGGAGUACGGUGGGGCGGUGAGGCCUGUGCGGCAGCAGAGCCGGUCGCGGGGAGGAGGGAGCAUGCAGUCCCGCCGGUGCUUGUUUGAGCGGUUGGAGCAGGAAGAGCAGAGAUUGAAGAAGCACGACGGCCGUUGGAUGGCCAUCCAACAGUCACUACUUGUGCGUCAACCUUUUUUUAGGAAAGCCUCAAAUAUGUGGAAAACCGCAUACAACCCAUCUACCAUUAUUUCUAAUAAUUUACAGCCCAUUUGCUAAUUAUUAAGGUUUUUUGGAGCCCAUAUUCUUUUUGUUAGCAUUACAGCCCAUAUUGUGGCCACGGUUAAAAAAUUAUACGAAAUUUUGCAUAUUUCGGUGCGGUCCGAACUGUUUUUAAUCCCGAAAUUUUGACUCACAUUCAAACUGAUUUUAAAAAUAAAUGCAUAUCAAUAUAAAAUCCAACAAAUUCUCCACGCAUAAAAAUUAAUGUAAUUUAAAAUCUUGAAAUGAAAAAAAAGAUAUUUGAAACUAAUUGCUGGUUUGAUGUGUUUUAAAAAUGUACAACCCAUUUCUCAUUACUGAUGGGCCAAUUUCUCGGCCAGCUGAAUGAAAGCUCUCCUCGUCUUGAAAGAUUUGCAGCCCAACAGGCCUGACAAAGCGACUUACUUGGCAAAUCACAAAAAAACUGGGCUGUGGCCGUGGACCUAGCUGUCAGCCUCUCCAUUUACAGUACUCUUCCGAUGGAAUGUCGUUGACCACGUUGACCACGCCGUGCCGAGAGCACCAAGGCGGUGGACGACGACGAGGCCUAGGAAGGGGACGACGCGGAGCCGGGGAAGAUGCGGCAGUGGAUGCCCACGCGGAGAGGAGUACGAGGGUUCACUGGUUCAACUGCGGUGUGAGGCUGUCGUCACCGCAGGGCCCGGCUAGCAGCGGGAGUAGUAGGGGGCGAUGAGGCCUCAACGGCAGCACAGCCAGCCACUGGAGGCAGGAGCAGGUGGUCUCCCUGGCGCUGGUUUGGGCGGCUAGUGCAAGAAGAGCAGCGAUUGAAGAAGCAGUAGGACCGUUCGAUUCAAAUCCAACGGUUACUGCUGCUAGAAUCGUUUGUUGACUAAGUUGACAAGCCCUGCGUACGCAUCAACUUAGUAGGCCCACAGGCCAGCCUCCCAACCGGUGCUCCCCAGAUGUCAGUGGGAGGAAUCAUUUUUUUCACGUAAUAAGGAGGCAGUUGAUUGCGUGCGGCCAGGCCAGCGGAGGGAGUAGGGUGGGUCGGGGAAGCCUGCGCGGCAUCACAGCGGGCCACAAGAGGAGGGAGCAGGCAGUCCCGCCGGCGCUAGUUUAGGCGGCUGGAGCAGGAAGAUCAGAGAUUGAAGAAGCAUGUCGGCCGUUGGAUGGACAUCCAACAGUCACUGCUACUAGAAUCGUGUGUUCACUAACAAAGCCUUGCGUAAACAAGUCAGCCUCGAAAUCUGUGGCGUGUACAACCCAUUUGCUAUUAUUUUUAUAAUUUUUACUCAUUUUCUAAUUCAUAUGGAAUUUAUUGCAGCCCGUUUUCCAUUUUUAGAAUUGCUGGACAUUUUCUGGUCAGUACCAGGGUCAAAAAAUUAACUAAAUAUGUGGGAAAUUUUGAAAAAAUUCGCAAAUUUUUGUUGGGGAACGAAAUAUUCUUAAUCCAAAAAUUAAUAGCCAUACAAAAACAAAUUUAAAAAUAAAUUAGUACUAUGUCAUGUUAAAUCCAAUGAAAUACGUAUAAGAUAUCAGUGAAGAACAAAAACAAAAAAAGAAACUUAUAUCCCAUUUGCUAUAUAUUUUUUGGAAUUUUCAACCCCUUUUGAUAUUACUUUUAACAGACAUUGACCAUACUCUUAAGCCAGGCCGAAAUGCAUCCCUCCUCGUCUUGAAAGAUUUGCAGCCAAGUAAUUCGGAGAAAACAAAUAGGCCUAGCUUGGGUAUUCUUCAAAAAGAAAUAUUGGGCUACCUAUUUUCCCAAAGAACUGGUGCAUGGGCAUUUAGCUUUAUUUAUUUAUUUACUUAUUUAUGUUUAGGGGACCAUGAGCAUGUACCUGGGCCGGAUUCAUGUGAGAGCCUCCCUUCCAGUUAAUUAUGGGCUUCUCUAUUGGGCCUUCAUCAGUGGGCUGCACGUUAUUAACAAGUGGAAAAUGUGUUCCUUACGAAAAAUAGUAUGCACUACGUACGGUACGGGGCACUAAAGGAUCGAACCGUGCAACGACUUCCAAAACAUUGUGUUUGUCGUUCUAACAACACAUUUAUUCAACCAACAGACGAAAUAUACUACUGAUUAUACAUUGAAAACAACAGUAGCAGCAACCAGGGCUGGGGGUGCAACAGAAGCAGUAAGCAGGCCAGAAGAGUGAAGACCUCCAUGAGCAUCCACGAGCAUCCAGCUGCCGCGACCGUCGACGAGCACCAUCCAAGACGUGUUUAUGCCGACCCAGUACAUACCGUUAAUGUAGUUGAGGCUGACGGGGAUCGGAUCAUAGUCAAGGGGGUUGAUUCUCGCCAGCCUACGAUCGUUAUGCUGCGUGACACGCUGUUUCUGAAGAUCAGGCGGCAUCAGCAAGCAAGGAGAAGGCUUAAAAAGCUCCGUCCUAAGGGCUUUGAGUAAACGGUACAACCCCGACGAGCACGCAACGAGCAACAUGGUACUGAGAUUGUCCACACGCAAAACAAUGAGCUUGAUUACCUCUGUGGGGAGCAAAUUCCAGCCACUCUUUCGGCGGACGCUGCUCGGUUCUGCCAUUGUUAGUGCUUGGGUUUCGGACGAGGGGGGGGGGAGGCGCCUUAGCGGGGAUGGAAGAUUGGACAAGAUUAUGUGUGGACAAAGAUGGAGAAGCGAAUAUAUGCUGUGGGAAGUGGACAAGUGAUGAUGACUACAACAUGCCGCUUGACUUACAAGACACAUACCAGCAGUGUAGGGUCAUGUCGAUGCCAGACAACUUGCUUGAGUGAUCACAAUACUGGUACUCCCUACAGUGCAUGCCCUAACUUGCUUGAGUAGAGUAGUAGAGUAGGACUCUGCUCUACUACUAGCACCGGAGGAGUAGUAUAUUCUAAUCUAAAAUAGUUACAAACUUCAAUGCCCGAGCGUGGAACGACUAUGAAUCAUGCUCAAAGACCGUGUCUACGUGGUGUUUGGACAUGGGCGACAACCUCAACGCCAACGGCGCUGCUCCCGUUGCACCAUAUGUGUUUCUGUCCUUCCUGUUCGAAAUCAUGGUAGAAUUCAUGAUUUAUUUUGUGCUUAUUCGGAUUAAAUCUCGUAGUUACUUGCUCAUAUAUUCAACUAGCGCAACGUCCCCUACAGCCACUCCCGUUUCAUGGACGGCCUGGUCGAUGCCUCCAAGGAGCCCUUCGUCCACUGCUAUGAGUGCCUGAUGCCGUUUUGUGGCUCGCCGGCGGACAUGGUGCAUCACCUCACGGAUGCGUGCAGCGGUCACUGCUGGCCCUUGGCGGAGAACAUCAAGUACGAGACAUGCUACCUGCUCACCAUGCCGGAGUCGCUCGAGGAUCACCGCUGCCUGCUAGUCUCGGAGGAGGAUGGCAGCGUCUUCCUCUUGAUCGUGGGCACCGGUGAGGCCCGUGCAGGCCGCCGCUCCGUCUCUAUAAUGUGCGCCAGGGGCGACGCCGCUGACGCUGACACUGACACGAGGCCGAUGUACGGGUGCGUGGUCAGUGUUACUACCCCUCCGGGUCGUGUGGGCGGCGACACCGACCUCAUCGAACGGACUUGGACUCUGGGGAGCUGGGACUAUCCCGCCAAUGUGGAAUUGGAAAACCCAUGGCAUCCUUUACCCGCCGACGCGGUGCACGGGGACUCCAAGGAGGUUCACCUGUACAUACACAUUAUCAAGUUAAAUGUUGAUCAUUAGUCUUCGCUCAAUGUAAUCCGCUGUCUAAGCAUGUGGAGACUUCCAUGCAGGAUCUUGCUCUAUUGGAGUAUCGCACAUGAAUAGAAGUGUAUCCGUUUAUGGUUUAGUCUAGAAUCUUCCAUGUAUGAAUUUUUACUACAGUACUGGUGAAAGACUUACGAUGAACCAUUUCUUACAUCUCCUCUGCCCGCUUGCAGGUCAUCCUGAUUUAAUCCCUCCGUCUAUGUGUAUAAGGGCAUGGUUAAUAUUACUUAAUAGUAUAGCCAACUGUUGACUAUAAGAAAGUACCAUGUCAUCUGUAGCCAACAUGUAUAACAAUCGAUACUCAAAAACUAAUUCUUAAAGAUCAUUUCUUGCAAAGCACAAUAAGUGUUAUUUCUUCACAAGUUUUGGAUGCAAGUUUUGGGCACCUUACUACUAUAGAUUAGUAUGACCAAAAAUUGAACUAACAUUAUAUAUAGUACGAUAAAUGCUGAUGCAUGUCACCUAAAAUUAUGUCAUUCAAAACUAUGUUCAAAUACGAAUCCAACGAUAUAGUUUUUGUUGACAUGCACUAACAUUUUGUCAGUUAAAUCUUCAGUCAAAUUCAAUGGGGGACUAAUAAACCACGACCGAUGUAGUACAAGUGUAGAGGGCAGCGCUGCAUGGGACUCUCACCUCUCACCCCGCUCGUGGCGCGGCAGUAAAGCCGUCAUAUCACAAAACCCAACCACUCCCAAUAAUAAGUGGCAUGGUAAAAUAAACAUACAAGCAACCAUCACAUCCCUCCGUCUUUUUUGCAUUUCAUCUCUCUGCAUUUACUUUCUCCAGUUCAUCUCGCACACUCGAUCCCUAGCUACUACUCCUAGGGCCAGUUCUUUUGGUGGCUUCCCCAGCUUUUCCCACAAGACUAGUCACAGUGGAAAGUACUACUCAUUUAUUGGGGCUUCUAAACUACUACUCCGUCCUGGUUUAUUCCUCACCAUUGUAAUUUGUGCUAAAUUUUGACCAAAGAUUUAAUUGGUUUAUUCCUCACCAUUGUAAUCCCUCCGUCUAGGUGUGUAAGUCGUCUUACGAAAACCAAAUAAUCCCAAAACACUUAGGUGCGGUGCAUUAACUUCUACCUCGUUUCUUGUUUCUUGACAUAUCAACCAAUAAGAGAUAAAGAGUGUGCAUGCUUUUAAUGACUUGAGAUAUCAAACACGACAUGCAGUGGUUAGUUCAUUGCAUGCAAUACUAUUAAUUAGCAAAUAAACAUUAAUGUUUCUCGUUUUCUCCUCCUCCUUGGUCACGGUGCACAGCCUAAGAUGACUUACUCACCUAGACGGAUGGAGUAGUGCAUGUGACAUGCACUAACAUUUCAUUAGUUAAAUUUAUGAUCAAAAUUUGACACAGAUUACAACGGGGACCAAUAAACUAGGACGGAGGUAGUAGUUAUGGGAUUACUAAUCUAGAAGCCUAAAAGAACUAGCCCCUAGUACUCCUACUAGUAGUUGUACUCAAGUUGGAAUUCCAAUUGCACGGCACAACUUGUUAGGCAAAAAAUUUGAUACAGGGUGUAGGAAGCGGUUUGGGAAUUUGCAUGCCUUUCCAACCAGUGAGAUACUCCGUACAAAGUACGGUAGAGAAAUAACCACAAAGAAGGAAGCUAAAAGUAAACAAUCAAACGAGCAUUUUUGCAUUUGUUUUGCAUUGAAUCGUUUCACAAGCUUGACUAGUGCUGUUUGUCUACUUUUACAAAAACCGCAUCGUAAUGUUAAAACGUGCAUUUGCACGUACUCCCUCCGUUUGGGUUUAUUAGGCCUAAAGACAACUUCUCUUAGAUCAAGACACAUAGUAAUUUGCUCACAUUAAUUCUUCCAUUCCACUCCCAAUGCACUCUCUCACAUGCAUGCAGCCAAUGAAAAAGCACACAUGAAGUGUAUUAACUUUUUAGCCAUGGCACCAACAACAAUAGCUUUCAAUACAACCAAUGAAAUGGUUGCAUGCAUGCACCUUUCCAAUGCGGGGCCUUAUAAAAGGGGACAUGCAAUAGUAGUACUCCCUCCGUCUAGGUGUAUAAGUCUUCCCUCCUUCUUGGUCACGGUGCACAACCAAAGAUGACUUAUUGACCUGGACGGAGGGAGUAGCACAGUUGAAAGGAUCGAUAUAGUUGACUAGAAGGGGGGGGGGUGAAUAGGCAACUAACAAGUUUUAGCUUUUAUUUAACAAUUUAAACUUUGCAUCAAAGUAGGUUGUCUAGAUAUGCAACUACGUGAGAAGCCUAUAUGAUGCAACAAGAUAAGUACACAAGCAAGCUAGAGAUAUAUCACAAAUAAGCUUGCACAAGUAAAGGCAUGAGAUAACCAAGAGUGGAGCCUGUGGAGACGAGGAUGUGUUACCGAAGUUCCUUCCCUUUGAAGGGAAGUACGUCUCCGUUGGAGCGUGUGGAGGCACAAUGCUCCCCAAGAAGACACUAGGGCCACCGUAUUCUCCUCACGCCCUCACACAAUGCGAGAUGCCGUGAUUCCACUAUUGGUGCCCUUGGAGGCGGCAACCGAACCUUUACAAACCAGGUUGGGGCAAACUCCACAACUCAAUUGGAGGCUCCCAACGAUACCAUGAAGCUUCACCACAAUGGACUAUGGCUCCGCGGUGACCUCAACCGUCUAGGGUGCUCAAACACCCAAGAGUAACAAGAUCUGCAAGGGAUUAGUGGGGGGAAUCAAAUUUCUCUUGGUGGAAGUGUAGAUUGGGGCCUUCUCAACCAUUGCCGAGCAAAUCAACAAGUUUGAUUGGCUAGGGAGUGAGAUCGGGCGAAAAUGGAGCUUGGAGCAACAAUGGAGCUUAGGGUUGGAAGAGAUGGUCAACUAGAGGAAGAAGACACCCCUUUUAUAGCUUAGGAAAAAAAUCCAACUGUUAUCCACCUACCAGCCCACGACCAGCAGUACUACCGCCGCAGACCAGUGGUACUACCGCAAGGCCACGCGGUACUUCCGCUUGCUGACAAGCGGUACUACCGCAAGGCCACGUGGUACUACCCUGAGGACCCGCGGUACUACCGCAGCAGCAGCAGCUAGGGUAGACAUGUAGCACAAGGGCUGAGGACGGUACUCCAGCGGGCGCGGUACUACCGCUCCCCCUUGCGGUACUACCGCAAGGCAGGAAACCCCUAGCCUGGGAAGAGCGCGGAUAAAAAUACAUCCGUGCCUACUUCCGCUGGUAAACGGACGAAGCAAAAAUCCUACACUGUACUACCGCAGAGGAGCGGUACUACCGCCUAGCAGCUGAGCCAGGCCGCACACGGUACUACCGCGCAAGGGAUGCGGUACUACCGCGGUGGUGCAGAUGUAAAAAAUUACAUCCGCCCCUACUACCGCGAAGGAGCGGUACUUGGCCUGGGGGUCACGGUACUACGGCUCCAGAGGAGUGGUACUACCGUGGGCACCUGCGGUACUACCACACCGUAGUACGGUACUACUGCGGGUGCCUGUGGUACUACCGCUCACCAGGGAGCAGUACUACCGCAAGCCCAUCAACGAUAGCCAGGACAAGGCAAAGAGAAUAAACGGAUGAUGCUCCAAAGUGCAGGGGAAAGGAGGGGAUAAGGAAGAAAACGUGUACGUGAUGAUUCCACCCGAACCUUUCCGACGCGAACCCCCUCUUAAUAGUACGGAUUUCCUACGACUCAAAUCCACUAGAAAGAAACAUAGAAAAAAUGCCGUCUUCAAUAGUCUUCGAGGGGCACCAAACCGUCUUGUGCCUAGCGAUGAAACGUCUGGGAAACUCAAGGCACAUGAUUAGUCCGCAAAAGCAUUGUCAUCAAUCACCAAAACACCUUAGGGAUAAAUAUGCCCUUACAAUCUCCCCCUUUUUGGUGGACUGAUGACAAUACGGGAUUUGCACAAGGGAAAUAAUAUUAAGCAAACACAAACCCCUCCUCUCUAGAAUAUAGACGGGCUCCCCCUAGAUGUGUGCCAACUAGAUGGGUGCUUUGGACUGCACGACACACAUACUAGGAUCAAAGCUCCCCCUAUAUUAUAGAGACAAGGCAUAUCUUGCAAUAGUAAGGCUAACACUAGACAAGAUAGCAAAUACGAGCAUAACAUAAGUAGCACAAUCAUAAGCUCACUAAGAUAGAAUAGAGUGCAUAUGUAUUACACCAUAUGAAGGAUAAGUCUCAAAGGCUCAAACCAAACCAAAGCAAACAAGGUCCAAAUGACAAAAGCAAACACACCAAACACGACACACGACUCGCAAGCGCGCAAAUCCCUACACUCUCUCCCCCUUUGGCAUCGAGACGCCAAAAAGGCAGAGAGGACACCUACACACAAGGGGUGGCUCAGGCAGAGAAAUCAUCCCAAUGCUCCUCGUGCUCCUCGUCAGACUUGGUGGCAGGGACGGUCUCCUUGAUGUCCUCCUUAGAACUAGUCCACUUGAAACCUUGCUUCGCCAUCCAUGCAGCCUCUGGCAUGAUGGCAUCCUCAGAACCGCCAGAGACAUCCUCUCCAAAGAGCCUCAUCACUUUCUUGUCGUGGCGGCGACUCUCCUUGGAUGCCACGUGAGUCCUAUACUGCCCCUUUGCUCGCAUGCAGAAAAGAGUCUUCAUCUUGUCCUUCAACUUCUUGGCCCACGACGGCUCAGAGGAAGGUUGGGAAGACCUAGCAGCACGGUCCUCAGCAACAUCCUCUGCACAAGCCUCCUCCUCACCAACAGCCCUCCUACCAGCAGACGCCUCAGCACAAGUAGUAGUGUUGGCCCAGUUGGGCUUGAUGCGGAGACUGAUGGACUCAUGCCGAAUCCAGUCUGGAGCAAGGAACUCAUCACCAGGGUACAACUUCUCCCAACUCGUGGAGAUCAACAGAAAUAGGUAUGGUUCAUAGAUAGGUACCUUGCGGGUGUACACUGCAAACCGAAGCUCACACCACAUGAUGUGUGAGACAUCAAGUGGCUGAGUCUGAGACGUACGUGCCUCCGCGCACAGGAGCAUCAUGUCCACCAGAUAGGAAUGAACCUUGUCCUUGUCGCCAAUGCGAGGGAACAGAGUGUUGCGGAAGAUGCGAUGCAUGAUAUCCAGAAAAGAGUUCAGCACCCAGGUCAACUUGCCACUGGGAAGCACCUUCUCAACAUAGAAUGGCUGAAGCUUGUUCUUGUUAGCAGACUCAAAAUUGCCGUGGGGGCGAACACCAACGGGUGUGUGGAGCCCGUCAUCAGGAACGUGGAGCAGAUCCAUGAACUCCUUCCAGGUGGCAGACAACUGACGGCCAUUGGUCAUCCAGGUCAUCAUCCGCUCAUCCCCGGGGUGAAAGUGAACUGAGGCAAAGAACUGAUAGAUAAGCUCAGGGUCAUAGUCAAGGUGGAAAGAGAUCACAUGUUCAAUACCGAACUGCUCCACCAAAUCCAGAGCUUCUCCAAAGUAGUCACGAAACUUGUCCUUCCUCAAGUAAUUCAUGUCUAUCCAGUUGACAUCCACGUAGGUGUUUUGCUUGUUCUUGAUGACAUCCAGAUAAAGGAGAGCCUGCUGCUUGGUCCAAAACAACUCAUUGCCUUUGAGGAUAGCACGAGCAUUCACAUAAGGGUUGAUCUUCCGGCGUUCGAUGUACUCAGUGAGGGAAAUCUUGUCCAUGCCCUUAGCAGGUUCCUUUUGCUUGCUGGCAGUGGUCUUGACAUUGCGCUUGGGGGCACUGGAGCCAUCUGGUGCUUCAUCUUGAGGAUUGCACAGUCGCUUGGACCCAGUGUCACGACUGGGAUUGGAACGGCGAGAGCCACCACCUAAGACACAAGAGAAAGCACACACAAAGAGCGAUAAGAAUCAAUGCAAAGACCACGGCAAAGCAAGGGAAACAGGUAGAAAGCAUACGGGAUAACUGCCACGAGGAAGAUGGGACAACAACGGUAGUGCCUCCUGGUCGUGCGGUACUAAAAUUUUAGUAUCGCUCCUAGUCGCGGUAGUACCGUGUGAGGAUACGGUAGUACCGUGGCUUGGAGUGGUAGUAAGACCUUAGUGCCACAGAACGUGCGGUAGUACCGCACCAAACGGGCGGUAGUACCGGACAAGCGGUAGUACCGCACCAGAAGCACGGUAGUACCGCACCGCGUCAGAUCCGAACCUACUUUUGAAUCUGAGAAGAUGCGCGAAACCACGGCGGAACUAUGGUUGAUCAAAUCUACCACGGGAAAAUAUAUCAAGUAUAAUUUCUACGCAACACUACUCUCCUACAACCUUCUCUUGCAACGACUUGGCCUAAAAUCUCAAGAACACAAGCAUCUGCCCAAAAACCUAGAGACAAGAGAACCAACUAGAAAGAGAGGGAUUUGGGGAAAAACCUUGGUCCAUGGCAAGAGGAAGUGGUGGGGAACGAUCCCACCGAUCGGAAUCCAAGGAGAGCAGCCGGAGACGGAGAUCCGGCGAGGGACUCCGACCCCGUUCUUGAGCGAGAGAGAGAGAGAGACGAAGUGGGGAAAACUGAUGAAUGGGUAUGGGGGAGUUAGAACCCCCCAUGUUCCCAUCCUUAUCCCCACGCGCCUCUGACAGUGCGGUAGUACCGCGUAUCAUCGCAAUAGUACUGCUUGGGCGGAAGAACCGCACCAAAGCGGCAGUACCGCUCUCCCAGGCGGUAGUACCGCACUGGGCCGGUAGUACCGUACUCUCCACGCACGGUAGUACCGUGGCAGGCCGCGGUAGUACCGUGAGCUCAAGAAGAAGCCAUUUCCGAGCACAAGAAAAGAGAGGUCUUCACAAGGAAACUUCAAACGAACAAGACACAUCACAACAAGCUCAAACACGAAGGGAAGAAGGGUCAAAACGGCAACAAGAGACGACCACGAGACACGACCUCUCCAAAGAGAGGGCGGUGGCCGGUGCCACCUAUGUCUGAGUCAAUUGGUAUGGCACCGCGAAGAAUUAUCCUUGGGCCCAUGACCAAAACUCGUCUUUGAAGCACAAGUACCAUCAAAAAUGGCUAAUGUGAAAGAUUUGAUCAAUUUAUGCAUAAUGGGGGGGAGGGAGAGUUCAUUGAGAUAACAACACUCCCCCUAUGUCCAUGCCUACAUCUAAACAAGACAACAAGUUGAGUAUGGUGGGGUGUGCAAGGGUUCAAGCAACAUUGCUUGAAUCAAUGAUAUUUAGCUCAUGCCUUAACUCGCGAAAUCUUGCUUCAUCCAACGGCUUCGUGAAAAUAUCUGCAAGGUUAUCAUGAGUGUUGAUGUAGUUGAACUCGAUCUCCCCUCGCCUAAUGUGAUCCCGGAUGAAGUGAUACCGAAUCUCAAUAUGCUUCGUCUUGAAGUGUUGCACCGGGUUGAGAGAAAUCUUGAUGGCACUUUCAUUGUCACACCAAAGAGGCACUUUGUCACAAACGACACCAUAAUCCUUUAAAGUUUGCCUCAUCUAUAAGAGUUGUGCACAACAACUACCGGCCGCUACAUACUCCGCUUCGGUGGACGAGAGAGACACACAACUUUGCUUUCUCGAAGACCAACUUACCAAAGAGCAACCAAGGAAUUGGCACCCUCCGGAAGUGGACUUCCUAUCCACUUUGUCUCCCGCCCAAUCGGAGUCCGAAUACCCUACAAGCUUGAAGUUUGCUCCUCUUGGGUACCGUAAGCCAAAGUUUGGGGUAUGAGCCAAAUAUCGAAAGAUUUGCUUGACCGCCACAAAGUGACUUUCCUUAGGUGCGGCUUGAAACCGUGCACAAAUUCCCACACUCAACAUGAUAUCCGGUCUAGAUGCACAAAGGUAAAGCAAGGAUCCAAUCAUGGAGCGAUAUACGUUUUGAUCCACCGCUUUACCACUGGGAUCUAUGUCAAGUUGGCACUUGGUGGCCAUUGGAGUGGAAGCCAGCUUGACAUCACUUAGCUUGAAUCUCUUGAGCAUGUCUUGAGUGUAUUUGGCUUGGUUGAUGAAGGUUCCUUCUCUUCUUUGCUUCACUUCGAACCCUAGAAAGAACUUCAACUCUCCCAUGGAAGACAUCUUGAACUUUGAGGUCAUGAGAGCGGCGAAUUCCUCAUUGAAAGCUUUGUUAGGGGAACCAAAGAUAACGUCAUCAACAUAUAGUUGGCAUACAAACAACUCCCCUUUGACCUUCUUAGUAAAAAGAGUGGGGUCGAUUAGCCCAACUUCAAACCCACAAUCUUGUAACAACUCGGUAAGGUGGUCAUAUCACACACGUGGGGCUUGUUUAAGCCCAUAGAGUGCCUUAUCGAGUUGAUACACAUGAUCGGGAAAGUAGGGAUCCUCGAACCCGGGGGGGUUGCUUGACAUAGACCAACUCAUUAAUAGGACCAUUAAGAAAAGCACUCUUCACAUCCAUUUGUUGCAACUUAAAGUUGUGAUUAGAAGCACAAGCAAUCAACAAAGGAAUGGAUUCAAGGCGAGCAACGAGAGCAAAGGUUUCACCAUAGUCGAUACCCUCGACUUGGGAGUAGCCUUGUGCCACCAAUAUUGCCUUGUUGCGAAUGAUGGUCCCAUGAGCAUCUUGCUUGUUCUUAAAUAUCCACUUGGUUCCAAUGACAUUGUGGUUCCCCAUUGGCCUUGGCACCAAUCUCCACACCUUGUUGUACUCGAAGUUGUUGAGUUCUUCAUGCAUGGCAUUAAGCCAAUCCGGAUCUUCGAGUGCUUCAUAUACCUUUUGGGGUUCAACACAAGAGACAAACGCGUGAUGUUCAAAUAGUUUGCCAAUUGUCUACGAGUGCUUACCCCCUUUUGAAUGCUUCCAAGUACAUUCUUCAGGAGAUGACCCUUGGUGGAGAGAUUGGAAGCAAUCUUGGCGGCAGGACGCUCCAAUUCCUCCUCGGUGGUGAGUUGAGGAGCGGUCACUUGAUCAUCUUGAGCGACGCCUUGAGCUUGUUCUUGCUCUUGAACUUGCUCGGAGGAGAGAACUUGACCUUGGGCAUCACUUGGUGUGUCAACACCGUCUUGAGCAUGAUCUUGCCCUUGGUCUUAUUCAUGAUGAUGAGGGCCUUCACUUUGUUCUUCGGAAGCAUGUGGGCCUUGGGUUGGUGAUGGCUCCACUUGAGUGGAGCAUUGUCCUUCUCCUUCGGCCACAAGGGGUUCCUCAAUGGGUAGGAUAAAACCAACACCCAUUCUUCUUAUGGCUUGAGGAGGAAUUUCAUCACCUACAUCACAAGUGCCACUUUGCUCCACUUGGGAGCAGUUAUUCUCAUCAAACUCCAUGUUACACAUCUCCUCAAUAAGUCCUGUGGAUUUAUUGAGGACACGGUAAGCAUGAGAGUUUGUAGCAUAACCAACAAAUAUGCCCCCAUAAGCUCUAGCCUCAAAUUUAGACAACCGAACACCUUUCUUGAGAAUGCAACACUUACACCCGAACACCCGAAAGUACUUGAGUUGGGCUUGUUACCGGUGAGUAUCUCAUAUGGAGUCUUGUUCAAGCCCUUGCAGAGGUAGAGCCGAUUGGAUGCAUGACAAGCGGUGUUAAUGGCUUCGGCCCAAAAGUUGUACGGAGACUUGUACUCCGCCAUCAUGGUCCUUGCCGCAUCCAUCAACGUCCGGUUCUUCCUCUCCGCAACACCGUUUUGUUGAGGGGUGUAGGGUGCGGAAUAUUGAUGCUUGAUCCCCUCAUCACUAAGAAACUCAUCCAAGGUGUAGUUCUUGAACUCGGUGCCGUUGUCACUUCUUAUUGUCAAGAUAUUUGCAUUGUGUUGACGUUGUGCUUCAUUUGCAAAGUCAAUGACGGUUUGUUGGGUCUCGCUCUUCCUCUUGAAGAAAUACACCCAAGUAUAUCUUGAGUAGUCAUCCACAAUCACCAAGCAAUACUUCCUACCCCCAAGACUAUCAAAGGAUGGAGGCCCAAAGAGAUCCAAGUGAAGGAGCUCCAAAGGCCUCAUUGAGUAAAUGAUAGUCGUGGGAGGGUGAGCCUUCUCAUGAAGCUUUCCUUCGACACAAGCACUGCAAGCACGAUCUUUAGCAAAACUAACAUUCAUUAGUCCACGGACAUGGUCCCCCUUGAGAAGACUUUGCAAAGAUCUCAUAUUGACAUGGGCUAAACGGCGAUGCCAAAGCCAUCCCACAUCAACUUUAGCCAUUAGGCAUGUCGCGGUCUUAGUGGGUCACUCCGAAAAGUUAAUCACAUAUAGACUGUUCUCGACAUGCCCAACAAAGGCUACUUUAAGAGUCUUGCUCCACAAGAGGGCCACAGUAUCAACAUCAAAGAAAGUGGCAAAGCCCAUGAUUGCCAGUUUACGAACGGAAAGUAAAUUGUAUGCAAGGGACUCAACAAGCAUGACAUUCUCGAUCGUGAGAUCAUGAGAGAUGACAACCUUGCCAAGUCCCAAUACCUUAGAAGAUGAGGCAUCACCCCACUCGACAUUGGUGGGCAUAGAUGGAAUCUUGUGCACGUCCACCACCAAGUCCUUGCUUCCGGUCAUAUGAUUUGUAGCUCCACUAUCGAGCAACCAUGAUCCCCCACCGGAAGCAAACACCUACAAGAGAUCAAUGCUCGGUUUUAGGUACCCAUUUUGUAAUGGGUCCUUUGAUGUUAGUAACAAGGGUCUUAGGAACCCAAAUAGACCAUUCAAUGUACUCAUGAGGAGAACCAACAAAUUUGGCAUAUACAUGCCCAUCACUAGCACGACAUAACACAUAAGAAGGAUUAAAGUCGUCGACUUUGUUGGGAGGGGUGGCAUUGCCCUUUUUGACACCGCCACCCUUCGCAUUGUUCUUCUUAUCCUUGGAAGCACCCUCUCCCUCCUUCACAAAAGUUUGCUUGAGAGGAGGUGGUCGUUUGGUAUUGUUAUCCUUCUUCUUGUUCUUGGGGUUGGGUGCGAACCCAAUCCCCUCCUUGGCCACAACUUCCUUUUGAUUUCUCAAAAGGUCGUUUAGGUUCUUAUCCCCUUGUAUGCAUGACACAAGGCCUUUCUCAAGUUGCUCCUUAAACUUAACAUUCUCCUCAAUAAGAUGCACAUGCUCACAACAAGGGUUAGUAGCAUUUGCAUUAUCAAUUAAUAGCAUACGAGGAAAUGUGGCUUUAUCCUUGGUUAGCUUCACUUGGAGUUGAUCAUGAGUCUCCUUGAGGGUAGCAUGAACACCCUUCAAGACUUUGUGAGCCUUGUCGAGAAUGUCAAACUCCUCUUUGAGUCUAGCAAGAUCAACCCCAAGCUUUGCCUUCUCGGAGUUUAGCACACGAGAAACAACAAGAGCAUGAUCAAGAUCUUUCUUUAAUUUAGCAUGACCAUCGUUGUGAGACUCCUCAAGAGACAAACAAAGACCACGCUCUUCCUCAAGAGCAUUGGAAAGAUCCGAAAUCUCAUCGACAUAGUCACGACUAUGCCCCUCCAUCUUAGAGAUGGUAUCUUCGUGAGCCUCGAUCAUGUCAUUGGCUUCACCAAGUUGUUCCAACAGAGCAACAAAGUGCUUCUUGGAUUUACCCUUGAGUUUACCCAUAAAGACCUCAAACUCAUUCACCUCCACAUUAGUUCCCUCAUGUUCAUCAAUGCUAUCCAUUGAAGAAGGAUGAUUAAUGAUGGUAGUUUUGAUGUUGGGAGUUACCUUGUUGGUGACUUUAGCCAUGAGGCACUUGGCGGUGAUACUCUCAUUGGGUGAGUCGAAGAGAGACACUCGUGGAGUCGUCGCAAUGGUAACGGAGGCCAUGGCAACCGACUCACCAUCUUCAUCAUAUUCAUCAUCCUCAUUGUACUCUUCUUGUACCACCAAUGCCUUGGGAGGAGUCUUCUUGGUGAAGUUGCUCUUGUUGGGGAAAGACUUGGCCUUGUCCUUUCGGAUGAGCUUUCCACCAUUGUCUUCCCUCUUCUCAUAAGGGCAUUCCGCAACAAAGUGGCUUACAUUUCCACAAUUGAAACAAGUCCUCACUCAUUGCUUGCCCUUUGCGCCACUUGAAUUGUUGUUGUUGAAGUUGGGCCUUGAUUUCUUCUUGCUCCAAAAUUGCCUUGAAGCAAGAGCCAUGCGUUCAUGAUAGGUGUGGGAGUCCUGGAUUAGGGGGUCUCCGGACAGUCGGACUAUCUCCAUUGGCCGGACUGUUAGACUAUGAAGAUACAAGAUUGAAGACUUCGUCUCGUGUCCGGAUGGGACUCUACUGGGCGUGGAAGGCAAGCUAGGCAAUACGGAUAUGUGCAUCUCCUCUUUUGUAACCGACCUUGUGUAACCCUAACUCUCUCCGGUGUCUAUAUAAACCAGAGGGUUUUAGUCCGUAGGACACAACUACAACAUACAAUCAUACCAUAGGCUAGCUUCUAGGGUUUAGCCUCUCUGAUCUUGUGGUAGAUCUACUCUUGUAAUACCAAUAUCAUAAAUAUUAAUCGAGCAGGACGUAGGGUUUUACCUCCAUCAAGAGGGCCCGAGCCUGGGUAAAACAUCGUGUUCCCUGCCUCCUGUUACCAUCUGCCUUAGACGCACAGUUUGGGACCCCCUACCCGAGAUCCGCCGGUUUUGACACCGAAAUUGGUGCUUUAAUUGAGAGUUCCUCUGUGUCGUCGCCGUUAGGCUUGAUGGCUCCUAUUAUCAUCGAUAGCGAUAUGGUCCAGGGUGAGACUUUUCUCCCCGGACAGAUCUUCGUGUUCGGCGGCUUUGUACUGCGGGCAAAUUCGCUUGGCCAUGUGGAGCAGAUUGAAAGUUACGCCCCUGGCCACCAAGUCAGGUUUGGAAGCUUAAACUACACGACCGAUAUCUGCGGAGACUUGAUCUUCGACGGAUUCGAGCCUCUGCCUUGCGCGUCACGCGGUCACGAUGAGUACGUUUUAGCUCUACCAUCGGACAGUGUUAAGAUCACACCGGCAGCCGCUCUGACCCUCAAUUCGGAGCCAGUAGCGCCUUCUGCGUAUGGGUGGAUGGACCCCGCCGCGGAAGCCUUACCCUUAGCGGCGAUCGAGCCGAACAUCGACCUUACCUUGCAAGAGAGCCGUGUUGUUAAACUACCGGAUCCUUCUCCGACCACGGACUCCGAGCCGCCUGCGCCCGUUCCUAUCGAAUCCGAUUGGGCGCCGAUCAUGGAGUUUACCUCCGCGGAUAUUUUUUAGCACUCGCCCUUUGGCGACAUACUGAACUCAUUAAGGUCUCUCUCCUUGUCAGGAGGAUCCUGGCCGAACUAUGUCCGGCAGGACUGGGAUGCGGAUGACGAAGAAAUUCGCGGCCCACCCACCACCCACUUAGUAGCCACUAUCGAUGACUUAACCGACAUGCUCAACUUCGACUCCGAAGACAUCGACGGUAUGGACGAAGAUGCGGGAAACGAAGAGGAACCACUGCCCAUAGGGCACUGGACCCCCACUUCACCACAUGACGUAUACAUGGUGAACACACCAAAAGAAAACGACGACGAGGAACAGAAGGACGCAACGAAGGUUUGUCCCCUCGAGAAGCAGUCGAAGCAGCGGCGUAAGCGCCGCCCCAAAUCCCGCCUCGGUAGAAACAACGAUCAUACAGACCCAGCGUUAGAGUAGGGUGAACCAUUGCCGGACCACGGCAACACGGAGAAUCAAACCGAACAACCCAAUUCUGUCAAAGAUAAUAGUCUGGAUGACAUAACACCAGACAUACACCCGGAGCAAUAGAAUGCCCAUCAAAGGCUUGUUGCCACCGCGAGGAGUCUAAAAAAGCAGAAGCAAAGGCUCAAGGCUAUGCAAGACACACUCCAAAUUAGAUGGAGCAAAGUACUCAACACAGCAGCGAAGUAUGGCGGUAAUCGCCCCACCAAGAGCGACCCGAAGCAGAAGUUGCUACCUAAAUUCGAUGAGGAGGGCUUAGAUCCCCUGCAACCAAAAAUUAAAACGGCUACCUGGCCGGAUAGACGACCUCACGGCCAACAUAGAGCGGCAAGCAAUGCUGCACAUAAGCCAAUACGCGAUCCACGCGAGGGUUCGCAUCAAAAGGACGACGCAACCAGAUCCAUCUAUGGACCACGUAGGCGCGCUCCAGCAUACGAUGCCACACAACAAACAUCCAAACACUACGGUACACCCAGAUACAGGGGUGCUGCACACCCCCUAUGUUUCACCGACGAGGUACUGGACCAUGAAUUUCCAGAGGGAUUCAAACCCGUAAACAUAGAGGCAUACGACGGAACAACAGACCCUGGGGUCUGGAUUGAGGACUAUAUCCUCCAUAUCCAUAUGGCUCGAGGAGAUGAUCUUCAUGCCAUUAAGUAUUUACCCCUCAAACUCAAAGGGCUAGCUCGGCACUGGCUUAAAAGCCUCCCCGAAAGCUCCAUUGGAAGCUGGGAAGAGCUCAAAGACGCUUUUCGGGCAAAUUUUCAAGGGACUUAUGUCCGACCUCCGGACGCGGACGAUUUGAGUCAUAUAACUCAAUAGCCCGGAGAGUCAUCCCGAAAGCUUUGGAAUAGGUUUCUUACUAAAAAGAACCAAAUAGUCGAUUAUCCGGACGCCGAAGCCUUGGCCGCUUUUAAGCAUAGCGUCCGUGACAAAUGGCUUGCCAGACACCUCGACCAACAAAAUCCGAGAACAAUGGCAGCAUUAACAAGCCUCAUGACCCGCUUUUGCGCGGGUGAGGAUAGCUGGCUAGCCAGAUGCAGCACCAGCGACCCCAGUACAUCCGAAGUUAGAGAUGGAAACGGGAAAUCACGAUGCAACAACAAUAACAAACGCCGGAAUAAAGAAGACAACACGAAGAGCACGACAGUAAAUGCCUGAUUCAAAAGCCCUUAGCCAAGUCAGCAAAAGCCGCCCUCUAAAGGUGCCAGAGACGAACUGUCCAGCCUAAACAAAAUUCUGGACCAAUAUGUCAGAUUCAUAGCACCCCCAGCAAACCUGCUAAUCAUACCCACAGAGAAUGUUGGGUAUUCAAGCAGUCUGGCAAGCUAACCGCCGUACACAAGGGGGAGGAUACACCAAGCGAAGACGAGGAUGAGACUCUCAAGCAAGACACUGGGGAACAAAAGAAAUUUCCACCAGAAGUCAAAACAGUAAACGUGUUACACGUGAUAAAGGGGAGAAACAAAGCGGCACUCCCAGAUAAAUAUACCCAAGGGCCUAUCACCGCGGAGUCCUGCCACUGGUCGUUUCAACCGAUCACUUUUGACCAUCGGGAUUACUCAGCAAGUAUCCGAUGUGCAGGAUGGGCUCCCUUGGUAUUAGACCCAAUAAUUGACGGAUACCACUUCACACGAGUCCUGAUGGACGGUGGCAGCAGUCUAAACCUGAUAUAUCAGGACACAAUCCGCAAACUGGGGAUAGACCCAAUGAAAAUUUGCCUUAGCAAUACUACUGUUAAAGGAGUAAUGCCCGACCUAGGGGCUCAUUGCAUGGGCUCCCUGCUACUAGAAGUUAUAUUCAGCUUCCCCGAUAACUUCCGUAGCGAAAAUUUAACCUUCCACAUUGCUCCGUUCCAAAGUGGCUAUCAAGUACUACUUGGACGCGAAGCUUUCGCUCGCUUCAAUGCAAUACCGCAUUACGCUUCCCUCAUGCUUAAGAUGCCCGGUCCACAUGGCAUCUUUACAGUAAAUGGAAAUAUCGAGCGAUCCCUGUGCACCGAGGAGGGUGCGGCUGCCGCACACUAAAAUGGCCUCACCAACUAAAGUAUUUGAUAGGUCAUCAAGACCACGGACACGGUUAGACGAGUCUGGCACAGCUGUAUGAAAUUCGUAGAGAUUUGAUGGCCACACCCCUAUCAUAAAUACAAGGGGCUCAAUGCGCAAAGAGGAAUGGCAAUGUUUACUCAUCUUUAAUUAUACAUGGUUUCUUUGAAAACUACCUUUCUGCACGACAACUUUUCACCUAAGUUCCUCUCUUUUACAGAUGACCAUCGUGCUACACCUGUCCAUGAUACAGCACAUCGGAGACACAGGCGUAGACGUGCAGCAGGGACCCGCUCCAAGGAUUCUUUUUAGAUUAAGACCCUGCAUAAACCUUUUUUACUGUCUCUUGUUGAUACACAUCCCUCGGAUUCUCAAAUACAAUUGAGAAGGAUGCUGACGUCUUGGCAUGUGGCCACGUCAGAAUAAACGCCCGUACCUGGACACAAGGGGCUUCUUACAAAGGGCACUAUUUUAGGCCCGGUUUAUACCAUAAAGACCGAAUACCUUAGGGAGUGUUCGGUGUCGCGAGUUUGACCUUAUAUAUAUCAGCUCCGAAUCAUGUCUUUGGUCAAAUUUUGGGUUUGCCCGGCUCCUGUGUUUUGGUGCCUUACGUUCUGUUCUAUCGGCUAAGGCAGCACCAGGAGAACUACUGCGAUUGUGCCCUCGUUCGUCCAGACGAGCACCUAAGUAGAGAAAGCCGAAAACUGACUGUCAUGAUAUAGCGCGAGACUGGUCAACCACUCGAUGACCUAUUGGAAUGUUAGAAUUCCUCCGCUUUAAUGAAGGGCCGUUUCCCGGCCAGGCAUAUACGCACCCCGAGUUCGGGAGAGUGCGGAGCCACCAGGGGCUAUAUAGUAGCCCCACCAUCAAACUCCUAUGGCUAAGUGAAAGUGUUAAAGCAUCAUAGUCCGGUUGCCUCGUUCGCUGCGCUAUCACCUCCUUAAUAGGACCAAGACGUUGGGUUAAGUGUGAACAUGCAUUUUCUGCGAGCACCUCCGCAUUAUAUGCAUGGGGAUUGAAGCCGACGACUGCAAUCUUUCAGGUUAUAUACAUAUAUACAUAAACGGCCGCACAUGAGGCACCAUAUUACUUUCCAGCAAAAGUAUAAAUACAGCCUUACUACAUUUCAUAAAAACAUUGUGUUUACAAUGGGAAUACAUGUCACUCAAACAUAAUAUUCUUCGAGCACUGGGCCUCUAUCAAACGAGCGCCCUCAAGAACCUCUUCAAAAUAGUGCUCGGCAGCUACUUGGCCUAUAGCUGAACCUUGCGCCGCAAUAGUGGUAGCAUCCAUCUCCGCCCAGUAUGCCUUGACAUGGGCAAAGGCCAUCCGCGAGCCUUCUAUGCACGCCGACCUCUUCAUCGCAUUGAUGCGCGACACCGCACCAAGGAACUGCUGCACUAAGCUGAAAUAGCUUUUCGGCUUCGGCUUCUCCGGCCACAAGUGAUCUACGACGGACCUCAUGGCAAGCCCAGACAACCUAUUAAGUUUGGCCCAUUCGGCUAGCUGAUCAGUCAAGGGAAGCGGACGCUCUGGAACGUUAAAUUGCGACCAGAACAACUUGUCCACUUCUGAUCUCGGAAGUAUUCAACCGCAUCGACAGCGCUUGCCGCCAAGUCCAUAUAUGCGUCUGCCGAACUCCACAGCCGAUCCAGAGGGGCAUACCGCGGAUCCCCGAACUUCCUCUGCAGCAGAAAGGGCUUCCCAGCCGCAAUAUCCCCGGCUUCGCGCAGCUCCUCCUUCUACGCCCUCAUAGCAGAGCGAGUGUCUUUGGUCACCAUCAUGGCCUUUUCAAGGUCCGCUGCCUUCAAUCGGUUCUCUUUUUCAAGAACUGGCAACGGUCGACAGUGUCUUUUAAUUCUACGGCCAUCUUGGCCAUCUUCUCUUUGCUUUCACAAUGCAUGGCCUUCUCGGCUCUUAACUCUUCGGCUGCCUUCAAAGCAGCCACAUUACUAACUCUUGCUUGUUCCUUGGCUCGGGCAAGUUCCGCCCGAAGGGUCUCCACGGUGGCAGCUCCGUCUGCAGUCACAACAUAUUAAAGAUACCAGCAUCAUGCUGCUCUUAUUCUGUGACAUUCACCAGAAAAACAUUACUUACCCUGUGACUCAUCAAGCCGCUUGUUAACAAGCUCGAUGUCGGCGUCUGCCGCAUCUAGUUGCCGCUUUAGUUCGGCAAACUCAUGAGUCCGGCUAGCCACCGGAGUUCCCACUACCUGCACAUUAAAGCGGUAUGGUUAUUACCUGGGACUAUGAUCCUCCGUUUGCAGCUGUCCUCGGCGAGAACCAGAGUCUCAGGGGCUACUAUCUACACAGGGCACACCUAAAAAUGUGCGGUACCAUCACAAAUGUACAUCAUUUUACGUACCUCAAAGCCCGUCAGUAGACUCACAAAGGCAUCAUGCAACCCGCUUUUGGCGGAUGAAAUCCUUUCCAUCACCGUAUCCAUCAAUGUACGGUGUUCCCCUGAGAUGUCUGCUCGCUCCAACAGCUCCCUCAGUACGUCCGACCGGAUACCAGACGGUGCCGGAGUCUUUUGUUUGCUCUCUUCAAGAGCCGGUUGUUGAGGACUUCGGGUAACUAUAGGAUUAUCUUCUGGCCUCACCUGAUCCGGAGAGGCCCUCUGCGACGACACUUCAAGGUCACCCACUUCUUGUGUGGGGGAGUCCGGGGAGGCGUUUCACUCUCCAUCAUCUCCGGAAGAAGAUCCCCUGAAGACGAGCUUCGCUGAGAAGGGCUAAGAUCCGAACUGCAAGAUAAACGCUUCGGUUAUUUCCCUCAGAGGUAAGGUAGUAUAUCUCCACUAUUAAAGUACUUUCUGAUUACUUACAGCUCAUUGGAGGGCUGAUCCUCGCGCGGACUUUGUGCGGCAAAAGCACCCUCCAAUGCAAGACCCUCUAGUGGAGACUUCUUCUCCCGUUUGGAAGCCUCGGUUUCCGGAUCUUUAGAGGCAGUCCUCUUCCUUCCCCGAAGCGAGAGAAGGUCGAAUUCUUCUCCUCGGUUAUCCUCCUUCACGGAGGUGCUCAUUCCCUCGGUUGGAAUUGGUAGCGACGGGGGCCCGCUUUUGACCUCAUUAUCCCCCCUUUAUCUUCCUUUGAGGGCUCCGGGCAGGGUGCUAGCUCGAGCAUCUUUUCCAGUACCGGAUUCUCCAAACCCUCAGGAAGAGGGGCCGAACACCGAAUCAUCUUCGCCUUAGUUAGCCAGUCCUGGUCAAAGAGUGACUUCUUAGAAUGACGUCGUGGUAAAUAAAAGAUGAUGUGUUCGGCUAAAGGAUUACUUACUUGGUCGGCGGUAUAGUUGCUGCUCAAGCCCACAUCCUCGGUAGUAUCCGGACACUCUAUUUGGGGUCCGAAGAAUGAUUUGUACAUCUCCUCGUGCAUCAGGCCGAGGAAAUUCUGAAUAGUACGCGGCCCUUCUGGGUUGAACUCCCACAUGCGGAGGGGCCGACGUUUGCAAGGCUGGACUCGACGAACCAGCAUGACUUGCGCCACCAUAAUCAAACUGAAAUCUCCUUCGAAGAGAUUUUGGAUGCGGCUUUGCAGUACAUGCACGUCCUUGGCAGGACCCCAGCUCAGCCCUCUGCUAAUCCAUGACAUCAGUUGUGGUGGAGGGCCUGAGCGAAAAGCAGGGGCAGCCACCCACUUGGCACUUCUGGGAGCUGUGAUGUAAAACCACUCCUGUUGCCAUAAUCCGGACACCUCUGGAAAGGAACCUUUGGGCCACGGAGCUCCUGCUAUCUUGCUUAUUAAUGCGCCUCUGCACGCUGCAUACUGCCCCUCGACCAUCUUCGGCUUCACGUCAAAGGUCUUGAGCCACUGGCCGAAGUGAGGGGUAAUGCAGAGGAAGGCCAGACACAAGACAAUGAAUGUCGAGAUGUGGAGAAAGGAGUCCGGGGCUAGAUCGUGGAAAUCUAGCCCGUAAUAAAACAUCAACCCCCUAUAGAAGGGAUCCAGAGUGAGGCCUAGUCCUCGGAGGAAGUGGGAGAUGAACACGACGUCUUCGUUGGGUUCAGGAGUAGGGACGACCUGCCCUCGGGCAGGCAGCCGAUGCGAAACCUCGGUCAGGUAUCUGGCCUCCCUCAACUUCUUGAUGUCUUCUUCCAUAACGGAGGAGGGCAUCCAUCGGCCUUGAAGGCUAGAUCCGGACAUGAUUGAAGGUCUGGAGCACCUAACCUGGGCUUUGGGUGUUAGAACUGGAGGCGGGGGAAGGAUUCGAUUGAGCACGGGAGGGAAAAAAGUAAAAGCCUUGUCCCUUUAUAAAGAGGGUGAAUAUCAAGCAUCCUCUCCGUAGCCAUUUGGGACUUGCCUAUAAUCUAGGAGUCCUAGACACGGUUGGGUUACCCAUGCCCGUAUUGAUGAGAAUCCCGUAAUAAGGGGACACGAUCUCUGCUUUGACAAGAUGUGUCAAAAAACUGCCUCGCGUUAUGUGCGGGACUAGUUAAAGGAAACGGUUCGAAUAAUCACCGGGCCAUGACAUAAUGUCGUGCUGCCAAAACAAGUCAGCAAAUUAGAUUUGAAAAAUAUUAUUCUCUCUAUGGUGGUAUGUGGAACUUAUUUUGCAGGGUCAGACACUAUCCUUGUAUUCAAAUUCUUCUGUGAUGUAUUUGGAGGAGGAACCCGCCUUGCAAUGCUGAAGACAAUACUGCGCGCCGGACUCAUUGUCAUUGAAGCCUGGUUCAGGGGCUACUAUGGGAGUCCUGGAUUAGGGGGUCUCCGGACAGCCGGACUAUCUCCAUUGGCCGGACUGUUAGACUAUGAAGAUACAAGAUUGAAGACUUCGUCUUGUGUCCGGAUGGGACUCUACUUGGCGUGGAAGGCAAGCUAGGCAAUACAGAUAUGUGUAUCUCCUCUUUUGUAACCGACCUUGUGUAACCCUAACCCUCUCCCGUGUCUAUAUAAACCGGAGGGUUUUAGUCCGUAGGACACAACAACUACAACAUACAAUCAUACCAUAGGCUAGCUUCUAGGGUUUAGCCUCUCUGAUCUCGUGGUAGAUCUACUCUUGUACUACCCAUAUCAUCAAUAUUAAUCAAGCAGGACGUAGGGUUUUACCUCCAUCAAGAGGGCCCAAACCUGGGUAAAACAUCGUAUUCCCUGCCUCCUGUUACCAUCCGCCUUAGACGCAUAGUUCGGGACCCCCUACCCAAGAUCUGCCGGUUUUGACACCGACAAUAGGCAUACUUUGUAUCUUCGAGGUUUCUCUCCUCUUCUUCCUCUUCAUCCUCUUUCUCCAUACUAACCUUGGCCUUUAGAGCAAGGUUGGGUUUCUUUACUCUUUGAGAGUGAAGUACCGCAUUGUCAGUGGUCUUGUCCAAGAUGCUCAUAGCAACGAACUCAUCCAACACAUCAAUUGUGGACAAGGUGUGGAAGUCCGGCCUUUGAUGAAUGACGGAGGACAUGGAUUUGUAGUAGGGCGUCAUUGCCUUGAGGAAUUUGCGCUUAAUCCAAUUGUCAUCCAUGUCCUUGCUUCCAUGAUCUCGGAGCGAGACCACGAGUUUAGUUACCCUCUGAUAGAGCUCACGAGGUUCUUCAUCUUCUUUCAUUGCAAACUCAACGGCUUCAUCUUGCACCACUUCAUAGUUGGAGCGUUGAAUGCUUGCGCUUCCCCGGUAGAGGGAAACCACUUGGCGCCAAGCAUCUUUGGCCAAGGAGUAAGGCCGGAGAUGAGGAAGGUCUUCGGGUGGGAUUGCUUCUUGAAUGAUGAAGAGAGCAUUCUCAUUGAAUUGAUUAUCCACGGCUUCUCUAGGAGUGAAGUUGCUUUGGUCAUGCAGAUAGAGACCUUCUCCAUUGAUUCUCCAAAGGUUAGUGUUCACAUGAUUUAAAUGACACUUAAAAAGAUAGACCCAAGAAUCAAAUUCUACAUUCUUCUCAAUCUUAGGGGCCGGCCUGGCAUGAAUCAAAUGAGUGUAAGGGAGAGGUCCACCAUAGACAAGUGGAGGUUCCACAUGGGGAAAUAUGUCGGUGCCACUCUUACCACUAGCAGGAAGAGCUUUCUCGCUAGUAGCUCCCCCCUUGUCGGAGGUAGCAUCUGUCACCUUGUUGGCAGGAUCACCCACUUUCAACGGUGCGGUGGAAAGUUUAAGCUCUUCUAAGAAAUCUUUAAACAUGCUUUUGACCUCAGUUGUCAUGGAGGUUUUCAAUGUGUCCAACGCCACAUUGAACUCCUCACAAGAGAUCGCGGUUCCCCCAUCUCUCGUAGAAGAUACCGGAUUUGCACCGGAGUCCUCCUCCUCACCUUCUAUGACGUCAACCAUAUUCUUCGGACAGUAAAGUCCUUAAUAAAGAGACGAGGCUCUGAUACCAAUUGAAAGGGUAGAUAUAGUUGACUAGAGGGGGGUGAAUCGACAACUAACAUUUUUUAGCUUUUCUUUAACAAUUUAAACUUUGCAUCAAAGUAGGUUGUCUAGAUAUGCAAGUAAGUGAGCAACCUAUAUGAUGCAACAAAGAUAAGUACACAAGCAAGCUAGAGAUAUAUCACAAAUAAGCUUGCACAAGUAAAGGCAUGAGAUAACCAAGAGUGGAUCCGGUGGAGACGAGGAUGUGUUACCGAAGUUCCUUCCCUUUGAAGGGAAGUACGUCUCCAUUGGAGCGGUGUGGAGGCACAAUGCUCCCCAAGAAGCCACUAGGGCCACCGUAUUCUCCUCACGCCCUCACACAAUGCGAGAUGCCGUGAUUCCACUAUUGGUGCCCUUGGAGGUGGCGACCGAACAUUUACAAACAAGGUUGGGGCAAACUCCAAAACUCAAUUGGAGGUUCCCAACGAUACCAUGAAGCUUCACCACAAUGGACUAUGGCUCUGCGGUGACCUCAACCGUCUAGGGUGCUUAAACACCCAAGAGUAAUAAGAUCCGCAAGGGAUUAGUGGGGGGAAUCAAAUUUCUCUUGGUGGAAGUGUAGAUCGGGGCCUUCUCAACCACUCCCGAGCAAAUCAACAAGUUUGAUUGGCUAGGGAGUGAGAUCGGGUGAAAAUGGUGUGACGCCCCCAGAUCGUCGCGCCAGGUGUCUUCCAGUGAUUCGCUGUUGUUGCCUUGUAUUUUGCUUGCAUGUCGCAUCUUGUCAUGUCAUCAUGUGCAUUGCAUCAUCAUGUUUUCAAAACUUGCAUCCGCCCCGGUCUUCUCGUCCUCUCCGUUGUCUGUUCUGAGCCCAACCACACUUGCACACGCUCGUGACAUGUCCGAAAUAUUGUUUUAUAAGUGGCUGGAAAAUGUUCUCGGAUUGGGUUGAAAGUUGGCAUGCGGUAGUAGGUCGCCUGCCAAGUUUCAUCGCAUUCGGAGUCCGUUUGACGCCCCAACGGAUAAAUACAGCGGCAAUAGUAGCCGGUCUAACAUUGGACGUUUUCGGUCUCCGGAAACAGUCGCCGGCCCUCCCUCUCUUCUCUUCUCUUAGCUCGAGACCGUCUACACAGCCCACUACCUACCGCUAGGUCCAACCUAACCUCUGUCGUCAGCCCGUGGCCCUCCUCGCGCGCGCGUCUGAGGAUUGUCCCGGACCCGACCCGAGCAGUUGUCACCGUCGUGUCCGGAUCAUCCCCAAACAUCUACAAAACGUCUCCGUUUUCUCAUUUGGGCUCCCUAGCCUAUUUUUCCUGACCGUCCGAUUACGAUCGGAGGGACGGAUUAGCCCCUACCCAAAAAUCCUUUUGUUAUAUAUAUGUGAGACCAACCCUAAAAAUCCUCCCCCUUGUCCCAUCGCACUGCCGCCACCCACUCCAAAUCCCCCUCGGGAUCGCCGCUGCAUCCUCCUCAUUUUUCUCAGCCACUCAACCAGAUCCACUCCCCUGCCUUCUCGAUCCAACCCCACCGAGCUCCUUUGCUCGAUUCCCCUGCUCCCUUCCUUGUCCUCCUUCUGUUGCCACCAGCAGGACCAGCCCUGCGCCGCCAAGCCCCUCCCAUGGUCGCCUCCGCCCGAGAGCCACCAGCAGAGACCUCCCACGAGCCUGCAGGCCGACCCCGUCGCUCCUCCUCUUCCCUUUGUUUUCCUCCCUCCUCUCACAUCUCUCUCUCUGAACCAGAGUCUCAGGCCACCAUGGGCAGCCCCAGGAGCUCCCUUGCGCCGCCGGAUCCGAGACCCCUCGCCCGGACCUGCCCGUUCCCGGUGCUCGCGUCGCCAUCAGCCAACCGUCGCCGGAGUUCCUUGUCGGCUCGCGUGCCGACCUGCAAGUCCCUCGCCUCGCCGUCCUGCGCCUGGAGCCGCGCCCCUCCGUCAUCUCUUCCUGGAUCCACCGCAGCAGGCGGACCUCCGCAUCCGGCCACGCCGCCCGCAAGCCCUAUCUGCACCUCGCCGGCCUUCUCCGACGCCUCCUCGCUGGAGUUCCCUCGUGCCAAGUUCGUCGUCCGCCGCGCCAAGGCCCCUGCCUCGCGCCCUCCUCCUCAUCGCCCUUCGUCGCCUGGAGUCGCUGGGAGCCCGCACUAAGUCCCUCGCCUCGGCACCCCUUUGCCUCGCUCGCCGGAGCUCUGCUCCAGGCGCCGCCUGCAGCUCUGCUGCUGCUCUGCAUCGCGCCACUGCCUCUCCUGCGUCCAGACAAGAACGAGCGAGGCAACCGCUCGCGUUGACUGCAUCUCCCUCUUCGCUAGGCCCAACACCAGGCCUCCUCUAUUUUUCUUUUUUUGAACGGGCCAAGCCCAUGGUAAGCCAGAUCCAGCGCCCCGCCUUGCACUAAUGGGCCAGCCAGUUUUGGCCCAGAUCUUUUUUUCCUUAACUGCGAUUUAAUCAAUUUCCAGGGAAUUGCACUUUUGCAGAUCAGCCCCUAAACUUCAUGCAUUUCAUUACUCACAAACUUCAUGAAUAUCGGCCGUGAGAGCUUGUGAUGGGCUAAGUUGGGACACCCCUCCAGGGAUUUGAACUUUCGAAAGCCGUGCCCGCGGUUAUGGGCAGAUGGGAAUUUGUUAAUGUCUGGUUGUAGAAAACCUGAAGUUGACCUUAAUUAAAAUACAUCAACCGUGUGUGUUACCGUGAUGGUCUCUUCUCGGCGGGGUCCGGGAAGUGCACACGGUGUUGGAGUAAUGCUUGACGUAGGUUGUUCUAGGAUCACUUCUUGAUCAUAGUUGUUCGAUCAUGCUUUUGCCUUCUCUUCUCGCUCUCAUUUGCGUAUGUUAGCCACCAUAUAUGCUAGUCGCUUGCUGCAGCUCCACCUCAUACCUUUUCCCUUCCCAUAAGCUUAAAUAGUCUUGAUCGCGAGGGUGUGAGAUUGCUGAGUCCCCGUGACUCACAGAUACUUCCAAAACCCACUUGCAGGUGCCGUUGAACCAUGCAGAUGAUGCAACCAAGCUCAAGGAGGAGCUCGAUGAAGAUCUUGUCCUUUAUGUUGUUUCGUUUCCAGUUGAUCAGUAGUGGAGCCCGGUUGAGAUGAUCGGGGAUCUGUGUAGCAUUUGGGGUAGUCUUCUUUUAUUUUGGUUCCGUAGUCGGACCUUGAUGGUAUCUGGUUGAUGUAAUGCUCUAUUCAUGUAAUUGUGUGAGGUGGCCAUUGUAAGCCAACUAUGUAUCUUUCUCCCUUAUGUAUUACAUGGGUUGUGUGAAGAUUACCUCACUUGCGACAUUGCUUUCAAUGCGGUUAUGGCUCUAAGUCGUGCUUCGACACGUGGGAGAUAUAGCCGCAUCGAGGGCGUUACAAGUUGGUAAUCAGAGCCUUCCCCGACUUAGGAGCCCCCUGCUUGAUCGAAUUGCUGGCGUUGUUGAGUCUAG
rnacentral:lncRNA from 1 species